UACGAAGGGUGCGAACAGUUGUCUCGAAUUAUUGGUGCGUAAAGCGCACGUAGGCGGCUUUGCAAGUCGGGAUGUGAAAGCCCUCGGCUCAACCGAGGAAGUGCAUCCGAAACUGCCGAGCUUGAGUACAAAAGAGGAUCGCGGAAUUCCCGGUGUAGAGGUGAAAUUCGUAGAUAUCGGGAGAACACCAGUGGCGAAGGCGGCGAUCUGGGUUGAUACUGACGCUGAGGUGCGAAAGCGUGGGGAGCAAACAGG
rnacentral:rRNA from 1 species